GACGAACGCUGGCGGCGUGCUUAACACAUGCAAGUCGAACGGAAAGGCCCUUCGGGGUACUCGAGUGGCGAACGGGUGAGUAACACGUGGGUGAUCUGCCCUGCACUUUGGGAUAAGCCUGGGAAACUGGGUCUAAUACCGAAUAUGACCAUGCUCUUCAUGGAGUGUGGUGGAAAGCUUUUGCGGUGUGGGAUGGGCCCGCGGCCUAUCAGCUUGUUGGUGGGGUAAUGGCCUACCAAGGCGACGACGGGUAGCCGGCCUGAGAGGGUGACCGGCCACACUGGGACUGAGAUACGGCCCAGACUCCUACGGGAGGCAGCAGUGGGGAAUAUUGCACAAUGGGCGCAAGCCUGAUGCAGCGACGCCGCGUGAGGGAUGACGGCCUUCGGGUUGUGAACCUCUUUCAAUAGGGACGAAGCGCAA
rnacentral:rRNA from 1 species